UUGCUUUCAAUAAAAAUAAAUUUAUUUUUAUGUCUUGAAAUAAUGUUGAAAUAAUUUUAUUUGAAAAAUGAAUUUUUAAUUAAUUAAAUAAUGCCACGUCAGCAUUUUCCGUUUGGUCAACUGAGGAACCAAACGGAUUUGGAUGGAAGGGUUUGGACGGAAGGGCGUUAAUCGCACGUUUUAGAAACGUUAGAGACCUUGACCGCACGUUUUAUACACGGGGGGUGCAUAUCGCACAUUUAUAAAACAUCAGGGGCCCAAAGUGGAAUUAAACCUUUUUUUUUUAAAAUAAAAUUUAUUUAUCAUUAUUUAAAUGGAAAACUUGACAAAAUGAAGUAAGAUUUUUCUCCUAGUAGAUUAGGAAAAAGUGUAUGAAAGAACUAAGAAGGAUAACCUAGCAAUAGCACAACAUGAGCAGAGCCAGAGAGAUCGACAAGUGCGUUUUGCGGGCAUCAGAAUCGAGGGUGUACCAAAGGUAGAAGAUAGAGCAGGGAGAGGGUUAAUUAUUUUCAUCAAGAACGAGGGAAGGGGGAAGAAUAGCUAUCAUGAUCUCUUUUGAUCCUUCUAAAUAUGCCCUUUCAGCCUCAGGAUCAAUCCUUAAGGAGGACAAACACGCCUUAGUUCUCUUUUGUUUAGAUUGGGGGUUUGUUUCUAUGUUUGGUGGUCGCUGGUGUUAGAAGAUGGAAACCCUACUUGCCUUUAAUUUCUGUGAUUUUUCUUUCCCUUCUUUCUUGUUAUAUUCCUCUCCGGUUUUUUGAUAGUUGUCAAUGGUAAAAGUUUUCAUUUACCCUCUUGAAUAUUAAUUAAUUGUAAAGGCUUGUAGUAUAUCUGAUUGAGUUCUAUGUUUUCAUGAGAGGUUUGUCUCUUUUUCAACGCUCCUUUCUGGGGUUUAGGAAAUAAAUAAUUUUCCACUUGUUUUCCAAA